UCAAUGUGGAGGCUAUAUACAGGGUGUUACGGUACAGAGUCAAUGUGGAGGCUAUAUACAGGGGGUACUGGUACAGAGUCAAUGUGGAGGCUAUAUACAGGGGUACCGGUACAGAGUCAAUGUGGAGGCUAUAUACAGGGGUACCGGUACAGAGUCAAUGUGGAGGUUAUAUACAGGGUGUUACGGUACAGAGUCAAUGUGGAGGCUAUAUACAGGGUGUUACGGUACAGAGUCAAUGUGGAGGCUAUAUACAGGGUGUACCGGUACAGAGUCAAUGUGGAGGCUAUAUACAGGGGGUACUGGUACAGAGUCAAUGUGGAGGCAAUAUACAGGGGUACUGGUACAGAGUCAAUGUGGAGGCAAUAUACAGGGUGUUACGGUACAGAGUCAAUGUGGAGGCUAUAUACAGGGGGUACCGGUACAGAGUCAAUGUGGAGGCUAUAUACAGGGGGUACCGGUACAGAGUCAAUGUGGAGGCUAUAUACAGGGUGUUACGGUACAGAGUCAAUGUGGAGGCUAUAUACAGGGGGUACCGGUACAGAGUCAAUGUGGAGGCUAUAUACAGGGUGUUACGGUACAGAGUCAAUGUGGAGACUAUAUACAGGGUGUACUGGUACAGAGUCAAUGUGGAGGCUAUAUACAGGGGGUACUGGGGGCACCGGUUAGUCGAGG
ensembl:lncRNA